rnacentral:rRNA from 1 species
GCGAAGUCGCGAGGCUAAGCUAAUCUCUUAAAGCUUCUCUCAGUUCGGAUUGCAGGCUGCAACUCGCCUGCAUGAAGCCGGAAUCGCUAGUAAUCGCGGAUCAGCACGCCACGGUGAAUACGUUCCCGGGCCUUGUACACACCGCCCGUCACACCACGAGAGUUUGUAACACCCGAAGUCGGUGAGGUAACCUUUUGGAGCCAGCCGCCUAAGGUGGGAUA